rnacentral:lncRNA from 1 species
AAUGGCACCCUCCGUGAGGAAGGAAUGCAGAGGUCUGGUUCAGCAUCUCCUUUCAACAACAGCCUUGGAAUGAAGAGAGCCAAGACAAGGGGGUAAUGAUGCAAAUAUCCUGAAGGGAGAAUCAAAUCAUCUGUUCUGAGACCAAUCCUGAGUACGAAUAUGGGGUUGCCUUGCUGGCUAUCGGCCCAAUACGGUCUCGCGCCACCAGCAUCGGGGCGGCCCGUACCUGAUAAAUACAUAUAUCUGGAGUUUUGUUUCCUGCUACCGGGGAGCUUUGGUUAUCGCGACAUAGGGUGUUGCGCUAUAUAUUGGGUUGUGCAGGGUUUUGUAGCAAUGUGGUUUGUGUUCUGCUCAUUUGGAGCUUGUGAACUGAUGAAUGGAGCUUUGGAAUGCUCUGUGCUUGUAUUUAUUUGUCUUUUGGAGACUGACUGUAAGUCGUGUUUUGUGCGUAACUGUACGAGAUAAGCAUGGUGGCUUGCGAUAUUUCUUAAUUUGGAUCUGCUUUGCGGAUCCGGAAUAAAGGCUGCAUUCUUCAGCAGCGUUGAACUGUUGAUAUCUCAUAUCUGUGUUAACUCCUUCCGUUCCAAAUCCAAAUUGUAGGUUGUUUUGGCUUUUAUAUACAUUGUGGGUCGUUUUGACUUUUUUAUGUAUAGUUUUUGCUAUGCACUUAUAAAAGUCAAAACGACCUACCAUUUGAAACAAAUAUCUAUGAAUUUAGAAUAGCCAAAACGAAAUAUCUAUGAAUUUAGAAUAGCCAAAACGACUUUGAAACGGAGGGAAUACUUACUAUUACGACUGCUUGUGUUCAUCUAUAUCCAGCUGUUCAGCCGCUUCCGUUAGUAUGUUGACAUGCAGUGGUCAUUGCCUCGAUGACUUGCUCGAUGCUCCGACCGGUAGCCUCCUGCGAGCGUCGUUGCGGCAGAAUUAACCUGUGCUCGGUCCACCUAUUCCACAUGCUCACACAAGCCAAGGACAAUAAGCCGUUCAAAGUACCAACAUCAAAUAGCGAAACAGAACUAUCUGCUUAAAACAAUGUCUCCACUUCCAAAAUUUGGGGGGUAUCAACCACCACGAAGCAGCCGCUACAUGAUUCAAACCGUCCCGGAUACAACAGGGACCACGACUGACCACAUCACAAACGAACUAGACAAUUCGGAUGCCGGAAAUACUACAAUAGUGCAAUAUUUGAAUAGUGACACAAGCCUAGUUUACACCCGGGGAGGACGCCUCCACCCACCUUGCAAAGUGUCCUUGGCCACAUUGCCACACCAUCACCCUUCUGGGUUGUGGGUCCCCUUUUCCGUUUCAAAAUUUCUCUAUACAAAGAUAGAAUAGGCCUAAUUCCCACAGUUGCACAGCCAUCAAUGGUAGUAUCACUUGUAGCUGAGCAGAACCGAGUUAAUUACAUGCAUGAGCAUACGGAUGCUGGUGCCAUCUGAUGAGCUCAUAGUGGGGAGUGACCGCUGGUGGGCCAAUUGGCUGUAGACUUGAUCAAAGAUGGGUCGCACAUGCACGGCAAUCAUCGGGUCCGCUGGGUUGAUUGCCAUGGCAACAUCUGUCAUCCAUUGAACCUUUCGUGAUGUCUCAUUGUUUAUGUCAACUGCUAGCUGCUGCAAUAGGGCCAAGAGGACCCCCUGGUUAAGAGGGACUGGGACCAUUGCCAAUAAUGCACGCAAAUCAACCUGCACACGAUGGUAUAACUUGAUAUCACAAAGCCAAAACAAGAUUGUCCUGAUAAGGAACAACUAGGGUGGAUCUUAGCUGAUCAACUCAGUGGGAGGAAGAUACCUGAGAGCACAGCCACGAUACUAUGGAAACAUCACUCCUUUGAAGGGCCAUUGUAAAUGCCUCGUCAAACUUGCGUUCAGAUACCAGUCUGCCCAGCUCUUUCAUCGGAUCUAACGGAGCCUCAACCUGUCAGAGAAUAAGGCAGGUAAUGUAUGCUUGUUAUUUCAUUCUUCAUAUCCUAAUUCAGUAAUUCUACACGGAAUAAAUAGAAUAUCAUUAUCACAACAUAUAGGCAUGUUAACAAAUUGUGAUCAGCAGUGUUACUAAAGGUGGAAAAUUGUCUGCAUUCACCUUCACCUCCUGAGGGCCGCCCAUAGGACCAUUAAUGGGUUGCAAAGCAUUGGGAGUAUGUGCCUUGGCAUUCCCAGAAGCAACAAGUGCCAAUAGCUUCCGUUGGCCAUCAAGUAACUCUGAUGAAAAACUCUGGGUGAUUGAUGAUGCAGAAUUGAUGGUUUCCUGGGGGGUUGAAAAAAAAUCAAAAUACGCAAUCAUUUCUUAGUAGAUGGCAGGAAAGAAAUGAGUACCCAUCAGCUUUUUGUUUCCUGGUAUUUGAUAUACAAGUAUAGAUCUAAAGUGGCAUCAGAACUCACCUUUAAAGUUAACGCUAAUGGAGUAUGUGCUGCCUCAAGUUGCUGUUGAAUAGCAACUGUGUGCUCAGACAUUCCUUUCUGAAAUGUACCAUCUACUUGCUCAAACAUUGUCUUGCAUGAUUGUUCAAAUGCUGGAACAAGCAAUGAUUCAAAGCUAGUGCGUAAAGCAUCCUGCAUGCAACGAUUUAAAACCAAUCAGUAGCUGUAGCGUAGCUAGAACAAAAGGCAUUAAACAAUAAAUAUCGUAUUUUCUGAACCUGAAGCAAUCUGUUAAGAUACUAAUGUCUAGCAAACAGAUCAAAUGUGCCAUGCUAUAUGGGGAAUAAUCUGCUGCUUGACAAUCAUCUAUAAAAAGGAACCAAGGAUCCAUACCUGAAGAGCCUGUUUUACAGAUGUGUGGAACUGCAUUUGGAUUUGCCUGGCAAGUGUAGCUUCAAGUUUUCCACUAAUAGACUUGUCCAGCUGAUUGCACACCUUGUCACCCACCCCUUUCUAAAAACAAACGAUCAACGAGGGGAAGCAUGACCAAAUUCAACAUAAUGAAUACAACAAGAAACUAACCUGAACUGAAUCAGAAACAGCAGAGGCUAUGCACUUCUCAAUGAUAGGUGUAAUUGCUCGAGCAACAACAGGCCCAAGUGAAGAGAUUUCUUUCUUAAGUGACUUCUCCAGAUUAGAAGGAACAUCCUUAUUUAUUGAGCUCGUAAUGAGAGUAACCAACUGCUGCAUUCGCUCUCUGUCAGCCUUUUCACGCUUAGUGUUUUCUUCCUGGAGACGAACCCAAAAGGCAUCAAAGUGAGCCUUGAUAGAUUUCUCCAUGGUGCGCCCUAAUGAUGUCUCAAGUUUUUUGCUUUCCUUUGCCACAGAUACAGGAAUCAUAGUAUCCAACUUCUUUUCCAUGUCCUUCUGCAUACCUAUGAGCUGGAAGACAUACAAGCACAGUAAAUUAACCCCCCCAAAAAAAUUCUCAUAACCAUAGUCUAUCACAUUGUAACAUUUAGAUGAAAACAGAAAACCAUAUAGAUAACCGGGAACUCUCUCCAGUCCUCCGGUAGAACUAAACAAGAUAGCAUGUCAAAAUUAACCAAGUGACAUCACAAGUAAAAUUCUUUCUUCCUAAAAACAAAAGAAUGUUUUGCUAAUUUUGCAAGCAGACAAAAAACUGAAGUUGAACAAAAUCAAGUAAAAGCAUAGCUCAGGCUUCGAGAUUGACAUAUGGACAGAGUGGCCCAAAACACACAUAAUACCAUGGAAAUGCAUAGCGCAUGUAUGAUUAAGGUCAAGGUCAUCACCUGUUGCAGCAUCCCUUGUGUGGCAGCAACUUCAGGGAAGGAGCUGAUUGGAGGGUAUGCCGAGCUCAAAGGCUCAUGUGACUCAGUUGAGUUGAAAGCACUCACAGAAGGAGAUGGUUGACCAGAUGUUUGAGGGUGUAAAACUUUCUCCUCCUUCGUAUACGACGACGAUUGCUCCCUGGAAGCAGAGUAAUCACUUUUCUCAGGCAUUUCCAGAGAGUUUUUCCGGACAUUUUCAUCAGCAACGCCAGUAUGGUCCAACGUCGGUUUAUCAGAUGGUGCUUGUGAUUCUUCCACGCUGUACUUGUCAGUUGUCACUGAGCGCUCACUGAUCAUUUCAACAGUUUGCUCCAAGGAACGAGUUUUCUCCAUAUGCUCACAAACAAUCUGAGCUUCCUUGACUGCUUCAAGUCCUGAAUUUUGAUCUGGUUUACUCUCAUCAAUAUGUUUUGGUUCCAAUUCUGCAAUCCGAGAGCUUCUACUAGAAACAUCUUGAAUUUUUCCUCCAUCAGAUUUAGAGACAUCAUUGUUUUCAGCAGAAGAGAGAGUGCCCGAUAUAAUUUCAGAUGGAGUAACCAAGUGUGUAGCAUUCCCUCCAACCUGAAACAUCAAACGGGGAUUUGGAAGCAUUGCAACAUCACUGUGACCAUCUCUUAGCUCAUCCUUUCCUAAGAUAUCCUUCCUGAUGGGCAUGGGCGUAUCUUGCCUUUUCAAAGCAUCACGCUCCAUGUUUCUGUUUGCUGUAUAGUCAAAAGCUGAUUGAUCUAUAUCACGAGUCCCAGGUGCUGGUCCUGAUCCAGGAAGCUCCAUCUUUGAUGCAGGAGGUGCAGAUGGAAGAUGCACAGAGCCAUCACCUUCUGAGUAUGCAAGUGGUGGAGCUGAUGGUUUCGGAUCAAACUCUGCAGAUAAAUCACAAUAAAUAACUACUUCUGAAUUAAAUGACGAGACUAUAGGAGAAUAUGUAGCUGCAUUACCUGCAGACUGGUCAGCAGUCGGUGGUUUACUUGAAGCACUGACAGAGUAAGAGUCAGUGAAACUAGUUGUAGAUGACUCUGUUCCUGCCACUUCCGGUGGUGCCUCAUAAACACGGGAAAUAGCUGGAUCUCUUCCAAACCCAGUAGUAUCAGCUGUAGGAGGCGAACAGAGUGAUAACUCUAGUCCGUAUUGCUGAAUGGCCAUUGUUUGGACACAAUAGACUUGAACAACUUGUUCACCAUCAGGUUGGCUUUCAUGUGUCCCAGUAAGGCUUAAAAUAGGCAUUGCAACUGUGAAAUCUGCUAUAUAGUCCAAGCGAGUAGAGGCAGGAUCCGGGCCAUAAUCAACAUGGACAGCAUAAAUAGCAUUCUUUUUAGCAUUUGCAAGCAAAAUCAGGCUUGCUUGAGGCAGCACUGCGACCUGGUUGAAAAAUGCCUCCUCGACUCUAGGCUCCAGAGAACUAACAAGUUCCAAGGUCUGAGUACAAUUCCAACUCUCAGAAUCACUUGGCAACAACCAACCAUCUUCAUUAGUAGAAGCCCAAAUUUUAAUUUCUCGGUUCAGAGGACCCUGCCACAUCAACAAAAGAUUAGCAUGUAACGUGACAAUAUCUCCUGAAAACACACAAAAAAAAUAUUUUUAUCAUCGAAUAUUUCAAGAGCAUAAUUAGAACAAUGGUUUGCCAUUACUAAAAGAAACACCAAGGAUAAACAUUUUUUCCAAUGCAUCCAACAUUUCAUAGAUUAUCCAAAACACUGAGCAGUCUUAGGUUCAUAUAAUUGUAGGCAGGUACUACCCAUUCAGGGUUUAUUUUUAUCUGGAUGAAGUACGAAACUACUACGAGGCAACCUUUUUAAUUGAAGCAAGAAUAAGGACUUGGUAGUACAUUUGGUUCCUGGAUGUCUGCAUGGAUUAGAUGUAAUAAUGUUGCACAGCGGAAUUCAUUAUCUGACAGUAAGAGAUUGAAGCUGCUGAAUAGUUUAGCUCACCAUAACUUGAUAGCAAAAAAGUUUACAAAAUGUGAUGCAAAAGAUCACAUGCUUAAAAGAAUAUGUGAAUAGAAUAAAGAUUGGCAUAGUUAAGAUUAAACGUAUAAUACUAAAAAAAUAGAACAGCCUACUAGGUGGAUUUUUAUAUUAAUAAGAAAACAGACAUCGAAAAUAGCCUCGACAAGGACUUGAACUUGGGUGGUCUAGGCGUACAUCCACACCCACCAAACAUAUAAGGCCACAUACCGCUGUAAUUAGAUUUAUAUGAUUUGGACGCUCAGGUGCUGUAAGAAAAGCAACUGAGUAAACAGGUUGACCAUCGUGUGGCUUCAGAAUGGAUAAAGGAUUUGGUUUGCGAUCAUCCCAGAUCUUUACCUGCAAAGAGAAACAAUAUACAUCAUAAAAGGGCCAGUACUAAUGCAUUGCACUUCUCUAGAUAACGUUGUUCCUAGUGUGGAAAAGUUUGACCACCAAACUUAAAACUGCUGACAGUGAGUUGCUAUCAGUAACCUGAUAGUACCAGGCUGUUUUCUGUAUGGGAGAUUUUCUGUCGUACCGAGAGCUACACAUUCUACAGUUAGGUUUCAAAAACAAAAUGAUAGUGUGUUUUCUAUUUUAUUCCCAAUAAUAGUUUUACAAUGUAAAACAUUGCAGAAAUCCUCAAGAUAAAUGGACUGUGUUCUGCCGUUCCAAGUGGAAGUGAAGGUGUUCCAUCUGAAUAGAACCGAGGUACGAAAAGUACAAGUAAAAAUGUACUGCAAUCCUAUCAUACUAAUCAUGUCUUGGAGGAUAUGUUAUGGUAGAAUAUACUGUUUAAUUUAGUCAGUGUCUGGAAGAAAUUUGCAAGUUGCACAAAAGAGGAAUUUAGCCUCUAAUGAGAUUGAACUAGAGAGUUACAUUUCACAUCUGAGCUUGGAACAGAUACAGCAGUUGAAAAGCAUAAAGAUACCAUUCAGCAUAGUGCAGUUUUGCAAAGUAUUUUAUGAAGAAAGUAGGAUGUUUUAAUACAAACCAUGCCAUCCUUUGAUCCUGAGGCCAAGCGGGUACUCAUCCAUUGAGAUAUGGACAAAUCUGUCACAUCACCAUCAUGCUUACCAACUAAGCGAACACCAUCAAUAAGCUUCUCAAGAUGACAUUUAACAGGUUCUUCCACAGCAAAGUCUCUUCCUCUUCCCACUCUAGUCGUGUCUAUUCUUAAGACACAGUUCCCAAUUCCAACAAACAGAAUCUCCUGCAGGAUACAGGUGUAAGUCACUUUGUAGAUUGAUAUGCAAGAGAACUGCAAGGGUUAAGCGUGAUGUAAAAGGCUUUAUUACUUGCUUAUGUGAGUGCCAACAUAUCCUUGGAUGGUAAGCUUCAACUUCGCCUACAAUUUGGAUGGCAAUUUCAAUCUUUCCAGUAAUUUGUGGUUUAUUUUCAUCAUCAGGUCCCUCAUCAAUCCUCCACACAUAUAUCCGCCCAUCUACACUCGCACUGCAUAAUAUCGAAUAGGACGAAUGCAUUCAAAAUAUAUUCAAACAACCAGAUAAAUUCCCAGAUGCAAUUCUAGAAAACAAUAUAAUAACCCUGCAGGGGUAGUACAAAGAUCACUUGUUAGUGCGGUGAUAACUGAAUAUCUCAUCAUUUUGUAUUAGUACCUUGCCAAACGAUGGACAUCCUCAGCAAAGAAAGCCAUGUCUGUCACCCUCUGCAGCAAAAACAGAAAGGUAACAGGAUAGAUCAAACAAAUGCAAUCGCAUGCUGAGUAAAUGAAUUCAUGAAUCCACAAGAAAAUAAGAGGAGCACCUAACCAUAUAGCAAAACUAGCAUACACCAAUAUGCAAUAUCUUCAGCACUUAGAGUUACAAGACAUCACAUAUCACAUCAGCUAUGUUUUUAAAAAAAGAUUUCUGUGGCUAAGCUGAAUGCAUGUACCUGAGAUGAGAAUGACUACAGAUACUAGGCCAAAAUAAUAAGUAUGCAUUUGAACAGACAAAGUAUUCUCAUAAAACAAAACCAUUACAGCCUUAUUGCAAAAACUGAAGCACAAUUUGUCCUCUCUGUUAGUCAGCUGCUAAUGGUUACUUUCCCAAUCGCAUAGUGCCAUCAAGCACAAAAAUAAGGAGUCCAAACAAAAACUGACAAUCUCUUAUGUGUAACCGUGUACAGCACAUGCAGCUGAGCAUGGCCCGAGGAAAGAAAAGGAACCAUUGAAGAUGUUAAAUUAUAAACUAUUGUGUUCCUAUCUCAUGGCAAAUCAAUACAGUUCUCUUCGAGUUUUCACCACAUAGCCAAGCCACUUCAACUCAGUUGGACCGUGCAUAUACAUCAGAAGAUCCCACUACCCAGUAAUUCAUCAAAACAUUUCUAUGGAAAAAAAACUGACCAAUGAGCGUAUCUCUUAAUCCACAAGUGCAUACCUGUGUGUGGCCACGGAGGAGGGAGCGGAGGGCGGUGUUGAUGUUCAGCACACGGAUGUUCCCGAGCUUGAGACCAUACACGAUGUAGGUUCGGUUCACCGCGAUCUGCCUGCCCAGCACGAGCCCCGGAUCCGACGUGUAUUUCGUGAUCGGUGUCACCUCCAGCUGUGGUGGCUGCGCCUCCCCGGGCAGCCUCGAGUCAAUAUCGUGUACCGCUCGUUCCCCACCGCCAAGCAGCCGCCCCCUGGGCACCUUGCUACUGGUGCUGCUCAGCAUCCUCGCCGGCGGCGCGGAUGGCAUCGCCGGGAGCGGCUGCGCGAACUCCGAAGUCGGCGGGGGCAUGGAGACUGCGGUCUCGAGUUGGGUCGGCCCGGAGUUCCCGAGCAGCUGCAUGAGGCGCACGCCGGGGUUGGGGCCCGGGACGGCGGCGUUGGGGUUAGCGUUCGGGUUGGGGUUGAGGUUUGGGUUUGGCAUGGGGAAGGAGACGACGGGGCGGGGCAUGGCGUGGGGGUCCUGCGGGUAGUGCAGGUAGGGUCCGCGGUGGAAGGGCGGGGUCACCGGAGGGUAGGAGUAGGGACCGGACGGCGGCGGCGGGCCCGCGGGGCCUCCGGCAGCGCCGGGGAAGAUGGUGGCGGCGGUGGCGGUGGCGGUGGGCAUGGGGUUCGGUGGCCUGAAGAGCUUCCCGAGCUCGAAUGGUGGAUUGGGGUUAGGGUUAGGGUUGCCGGUGGGAGACGCCAUGGGAGGCGGCUCGGGAGGGAGGGAGGAGGUGGCAGUGGAGUAGAUCUGAACUGGGGAAGGGAGGGAGGACGAAGUGGAGGUGCGUGGAAGGGCAAGGAUGGAGGUGGUGCUUUACUUUUCGAGCUUGCCCCCGCAGUUCUCCUUUAACGCAACAACGGGCUUACAAUUUCUAGUGCUAAUUGCAUAAUUUUUUACACUACGAAGCUACUCCUAAACCGAUUAUUUGGAAAUGAAUCGCCUGUGAACCAAGGAUUCUCAUGUUUCAAACAGAUCCCAAGGCUUAUUUUGAAGUAAUGAAACGUGAGCCCACUAAUUCAAUUGGUAUAAUUUGGCAACAAGAUGAUAGAGAAAAUGCAAAUUCCAGGGUGAUGAAAUUGAACUGAAAGGAAAGGCUAACUUUUCACACAGGUGAGUUGAGGAAAUGGUAAGCCACAAAAAAUACUUUAGAGUAACUCCAAGAGGCUACUAAUUUUACCCCUAAUACCUUUUUUAGGAAAAAAAGAGAGAAAAAAUGAACUCCAACAAUCCACCUAAACCUUCCACAAUUUUUUAGCGACGCUAAAAAACAGCCUGCCACCGCGUAUAUUUUAGCGUUGGCGUUCCUCCCCCAAUCCUGAUUCCCGCACACCCGCGUGUCCCUUCCGAUAGGCCCAAUACGAUGACGUGACCUGUGUUUGAAAUAUUGGGGGCUAUUUAUUAACGAUCUGUUGUGGACGGAUAAGCUUUUGGGGGAAAAAUUUUUUGGGAGAACCCCAAUACAUAGUUUUGGGGAAGAAUUUUUUAGGAUACUCUUGGAGUUGCUCUACAUCUGCAUUCAUAAUGUACACCUAUUUCAUAGGUGACACACUAUCACAACGUAAUGGCCGUGUGGUUUGAAAAAUACGAAAGAAUAAAAAGGAAGAGAAAUUCACCUCCUAAGACAUUGCUUUAUUCGAGAGACAUGAAAAGGACGUCAAACAGUUGCCUUUUCGAAAGUACACAGUAGUACAGUACCAAUUUGUCGCAUUGACCCAGCCUCCGGUUCGAGCCUUCUUCCAAAUAGCAGGUCAUUCGAGGGGCGAACUGCAAUCCUCGUCACCUUUCCAAGUAGAUACUGUUUCCCGAUGAUCCGAUCUCCAGAAAAAGAAAAAGAAAACGCCUGCUGCGUAGAUUUGCUCGGCCAGGUCGGUCUCAAGCGGGCGCCCGUCUAGCUAUUCCGAGGCCGCAUCGGACGGUGAGUCCCAGCGCGGAGGUGCCGCGGCCGCACGAUCCGCUCGGGCAGGACGACGCGGAUGGUGGGGGUGGUACGGGAACACGUGCGCGGCAUGCAGCAUGCCUCCCGAAGACGCCACACGAUCCGGCUUCCGGCCUCGCCUUUCGAGCGCAGCAGCCAGGUUCAGGCCAUCAGGUGCCUUGUGCCCCCGAGCACCAGGGCAACGGCGCCUUCCCUGAUCUGGUUUGUUCCCAUCUGAUGAUCCUCCGAAACAAAGCCUAGCGAUGCGUCUCGCCUUUCGUCCGACGGUUCAUGGGGUGAUUCUGGUAGCAGAAGCUCCAAGAUUCCAAAUACAGGCACGCAAUUUCUGGCGCAACGACACAAAGCAUCGGCAGAAACAGGCUGAAUCUUGACGCGACAAUUUCAACAAGAAUGCGGUUCCUUGAUCCAUGGGUUUUUCAUUUUUUGCAUCCUGAAAAGAGGUUUGGGUCUGUGGCCCACACGGCACGACAGAAGGAACUUGCCAUGCUCCGUUGUUGGGUGGGUAGGCCUCUCAUCCUGAAGUCAAAAGUCCCAUCCAAAUUCAGUAUGGUGGCGAUCAUGAUGAUGGCCACAUGAUUGGCUUAUCUUCCCGAAUCCCGACGCUCCCCAUUCGCCCGCUCAAGCGCCAGAGGCUGUUUGUGUUUGCAUCAUCGACGAACCCCUACCUGCAGUGACGACAAGAGUGAUUACACAGAACGGCUGACGAAUUGGGUUUUCCUCCAUCAGCACUGAUCGAAGCAGAUUAAUUAGUUUUCAUCAGCUGAGAACUCCAGCCUCCUCAAAAGAACACCAUGGUUAGGCGUGUAAUUAAGAUGCAGCGGCAGUUUUCUUAAGCGAGACUGGGACAGGUUGGACCUGUGAGAGGGGUGACGAACUGACGAUGCGUCAAACGAAGAUAGUAGAAUAAAUCUGCAGUGACGAAGUCUCUUGUCCAGUCUCCGCGGGUUAGCAGCACUAACGAUCCAUGAACUAUUUUUAGUUCGGUUCAUAUUGGAUGUUUGGAUACCAAUUAGAAUGACUAAACGUAACUAAUUGUAUAAGCCGUGGCUAAUUCGCGAGAUGAAUCUAUUAAGCCUAAUUAACUCAUGAUUAGCACAUAUUUACUGUAGCACCACAUGUCAAAUCGUGGACUAAUUAGGCUUAAUAGAUUGAUCUCGCGAAUUAACUUUCAUUUAUGCAAUUGAUUUUGUAAUUAGCCGAUAUUUAAUACUAUGUAAACAUUCGAUGUGACAGUCCCGGAACAAAACACCCUCUAAACUUGAAGGUGAUCCAAGCUGAUGUCACGUGUUCUCUCGCACAUCCUCGAUAUGCCCAUAUGCAAGAUCCUCGAUGUGAUUCGCGAUGGCGGCUCACGAGAAUAUGGUCCCGUUUGGCGGGGCUCCGGGAGCAGCUCCUCGAGUGGCUUCUCCCGAAGCCCUGCCAAAGGGCGUGGGACGCGCGAAAGGGCUCCGGCUCCGGCAGCGGAGCCCUACGAAUCCCGCUCUUAGGAGCUGUUUCGGGGAGGCGGAGCCAAAAAAAUGGGCUCCCGCGGCUCCUCCUCCUCGUUUCCCACCCUUGUCCUUGGGGGAGGGCCCGCAGGCAGGCGGAGGUAGACGACAACGGGUGAGCAGCGGCCGACGGUGACGGUGGGGUGGAGACGGGCGGGAGGCGGCCGACGGCGACGGCGGGAGGUGGACAACGGCGACAACGGGAGGCGGAUGACGGCGACGGCCGGGAGGCGGGGGCGGAGGCGGCCGGGGGAUCGGGAGCUAGGCGGUGGAGGAGAAUGGAUAGGGAAGAGAGAAGAAUGGGAGGUCGGUGGUGGGAGGCUGAAGGAAGAGAAUAGAAAUAGGAAAAGGAAAUAGGAAGAGGAAAGAAGGAAAAUAAAUAGGAAGAAAAAAAAGAAAAGGGAAAAGGAAAGGGUAUUAUAGGUAUUUCAUCUAAUCUAACCAUUUUAAACUAUACGGAAGAAUUGUUUUGUAAGCGGUUUUCCAAAAGGGCUUCACCUCCACCAGAGAAGCCACUCCAUUAGAGGAGGAGCCAGAGCCGAAGCCAUUUUCAGAGGAGGCGAAGUCGUGCCAAACUGACCCAGGCAUAUAGCAGUUGUCGGGGCGUGGGGUAAUGCGUACUGAGAAAGUUUUGAGAGCGCCAUCACCUACAGGGCCAAGUCACCUGCAGAACACACGAGUGGAAAAGGAACAGAGAUAGAAACAAACAGGGUGCUUGUUGCCUCCCGGAUAUACAGUAACGAGAGGUAUUUCAUUUUUCACAUGCGAAAGAAACAGAUACUCAAUUACAUGUAAUAUGUGGAGUAAUCAAAGGAUAUAUGUCAAACCAUGGCAGCCGAAAGUUAACAGUGAACUACUUGCCCUGGUCCCUAGACUUGACAGCCAAACCACCUUGAUCGUCGCCAUUUUGAAUGGAUAGCAGUUUGUUUGAGAAUAUAAAGUGGUGUCGCGACCAGUAGACCCUGCUAUAGCGCUAUCACCAUCGUCGUCAUGGCCUUGUUUAGUUUCCAAUUUAGGAGUAGUAAAAUUGGCAUUUUACCAUAAAUGUGCAACUGUAGUAUUUCGUUUGUAUUUGUGAAUUAUUGUCCAAACAUUGACUAAUUAGGCUCAAAAGAUUCGUCUCGCAAAGUACAACAAAACUGUGCAAUUAAUUUUUGAUUUCGUCUACAUUUAGUACUCCAUGCAUGUGUCGCAAGUUUGAUGUGAUGGGGAAUCUUCUUUUUGCAUAGUGCCAAAGUUGGAAUUUUGGAGGGAACUAAACAGGCCCCAUGUUUCGCAGUAUCUCAGUGACGGAUGACGGUAGGUACCCACCAGAAUAUUUCGCAGUAUCUCAGCGAGGGAUGAGGGUAGUACCCACCAGAUACUGGCCGGCCUGAUAAGUGAGCCUCGCCCCGACUAUGGCGUGCGGGGUAAGACAUGAAGACGCGUGGUGUACAAGUUUGGAGGUCGAGCGAACAGAUUCUACCCGGAUAUUUCGGGAUACUUGUUGUAAACCGACUCAGAUUGAUUUCCUUGUAACAACCGACUAGGAUUAGAUCCAUCCGAUUGUAACUCUAGGUCGUCGGCUUAUAUAAGGCGGCCAGGGACGCCCCUCGAGGACACGUUAACUCUUCGCGCCCGCCAUUAGCAGUACAAUCCACUAGAACACAAGACGUAAGGUAUUACUCUCCAGAGGUCCGAACCUAUAUAAACCUUGCAUCUCUAUGUUAUCAUUCGAGUUCUUGGUCUUACGAUCUCCCCCACCUACAAAUCUACCACUUGGGUAACCCCCUGGUGGACUGUCGGUCACUAAAUCCAAUAGUUGGCGCGCCAGGUAGGGUGAUCGUGAGAUCCUUCCCAGUGAGCUCGGUGGCAUCUCGCCCCGGCAUCAUCUUCCCCGCGAGGAUGAAGGACUUUCUCGCCAAUCGGAUCCAGCUUCACUUCGGAAGCAUGCCGGUGGACUCUGACUCCACCGACUCGGCAUCCACCUCCAGCUCAGCCUCUAUCGAAUCUGCAUCGGCAACCACACAUCCCGCCAGCGCAACCUAACAGCGGUGAUAAUGUCGACCAAGGCGAUGUUUGAGGCCGGCACGAGCACCCUAACCCCAUGUGGGCACGCAACCUCUAGAAUGACUUCGAGCAAAAUGGCCACGACGUCUUCGCCCUACCCUAGGGCAACCUGGGGGCUGUUUUCGCUAACCUGGAGAACCUCACGAACUCGGAGCAAUUAUAGCAAAUCCGGAUGCGCAUCCGUGUCGCAAACGCUCAGAUCGAGGAGAGGGUCAAGGCCCCAGCACGCUCAAGAUGCCGCUCGUCAAACUCCAGAUCUAUAUCUACCCGGUACUCCCAAAGCCGAUCUACUCAGAGUAGUUCCGAUUGCAGCCGAGCGGAUCACGGCCAUUGCAGGGGAGGUCAGCUGGAACCUAUUCAAGAAGAGGAGGUGGAGCAGUCCCAAAGCAACGACCACCAUCCCGACAACAAGGAUCGCCGACCAGAUAACCACCACUGCGACAAUCGUCGCCGCGACAGAAGAGGAGACCGCGAACGGCGCGGUCGACCUGAUCGGCAACCUGACCGCGACAAUCUCCACGACCUUCGGGACCUCCGUGGCGAGCUCAACAACCGGCACCAGGAGCGGGACGAGGUGGACCUCCGCCGGCGCGCCCAGUACGACCGCGACUCGGCGCUCUAGGGGUCGGCAACCAGUCAAACCGUGACGCGGAGCACGAGGCCCACAACCGCUGGGAGGAGGAGCUACGCUGGCACGAAGAGCACCCCUAGCCACGCCUACAACCCACCCCAGCAUGACAAUGACGCACGCCCAGGACCCUGCCAGUACAUUAUCAUCUCAUGGAAGACGACGACAUGGACAUCGACAGGUUUGCUUUGUUUACCCCACGCCUCAGGGCUGUCCAGUGACCACCCACCUUCAAGACAGCCAUCAACAAGAAGUAUGACGGUCACUCUGACUCGAAGAUCUGGUUGAAGACAUACUACACUGCGGUCAAGGCCGCGCAUGGCACCUACGACCAGAUGGUCGCCUACUUCCCAGUGGUGAUGGGAAGCGCAACUCUCCUACGGCCAGAAGGGCUCCCACGAGGCUGCAUCGACACAUGGGGUCAGCUCGCUCGAGCCUUCACCCAGAACUAUCAGGCCACAUACGCCAAACCUGGAAGCACGCAAGACCUCGCCCAAGUCCGCCAGCGGAAAAACUGAACUACCCGUGAGUACGACAACCGCUUCUUCGACAACCACAACAGGCUGGUCGACGUUGAAGACCGCGACCUCAUCUGGUACUUCACCUCAAGAACAAAUCAAUGUUCUGGACCAUGUUCCAGGUUGAUCCAAAGAUGGUCGGACACAUGAUGCACAUCAUCAACCUUCACGCCGACACAGAUAAGGCCGAGCAUGUCCAAUAACAGGAUGGCAAGCAUCGCCACAACGAUGACGACGAACUGCCAACCCAUCAAGACCAUCAGCGCCAACCCAGGCCGGAGCCUUCCCGACCUCAGAAGAGAGCCCCUAAGGUUCUCGCUGCUGAAGCCAACCCCACAAGACAAACAACAUUCCUCCAAGAGGAGUUCGAUGAUACUCUGAACGCUUCGUGCACCUUCCACAAGGACGCAUGCCACAAUCUCCGAGAUUGCUAGGUCCUAAAGAAAGAACUCGGCACUCUAGUAGAAUACAAGCGGCCACAUUGGGAUGACCGUCCUGACAACCGUUGCGACAACAACCGCUGCAACGACCGCGACGACAAUCGUCGUCGUGACAACAGCCGUUGCGAUGACCGCAAUGAUCAACGCAGAAAAGAGCGCCGUGACCACCGUAACCCUGAUGCCAAUUAGGGCGCUGGAAACGACAACGGCGAGUUUCAGCAGGCUGAGCGGGAGGUCAACAUCAUCAUCGACGGCCCCAAAGCCUUUUGCAGCAGGCGCAAGCAUAAAUUGCACAGAAAAGAAGUGCACUUUGUCUCCAUCUCACCAGUCCAGUACUUGCGCUGGUUGGAGAUGCCCAUAACCAUCUCCAAGGAAGAUCACUGGGUGCACAUCUCGGACCCUGGGGUCCUAACCACUCGUGGUGUGCCCUACCAUAGACAGAGUUCUCCUUUCCAAGGUGGUGAUCGACGACAGUAGCAGCCUCAACAUCAUCUUCACGGAGACCCUCAAGCACAUGGACUUCUACUUUGAACGGCUCCUUCCCUGCGAGGACCCAUUCUACGGCAUCGUACCCGGCAAAGCAUCCUAUCCUAUCAGGAGAGUCGUCCUGCCAGUCACGUUCGGCACCCCCGACAACUACCGCACCAAGCACCUCACCUUUGAAAUAGCUAACUUCAAGACGUCCUAUGAUGCCAUCUUCAGUAGGCCAAUGCUGACGAGGUUCAUGGCGAUUCCCAACCAUACCUACAUCAUCCUCAAGAUGCCAGCACCAAAUGAUGUCCUCUCCAUCUACGGCGACAUCGAGACAUCCUACAAGUGCGACAGGGAAGCCAUGCAGCUUGCUGAGUCCCCAAAGUACUUGGCCAACGCCACCAUGAUGCUCGCCAAGUUCAAGAAGGUGGACCAGAACCAGCUGAUGAUCCCAAAGGCGGACUCGACGGCCCUGGCGCUGCUACCCAACACGCAAGUCAGGAAAAUCAACCUCGGCCUGGAAGAUCCCUCCAAGAUGGCCCUCAUCAAGGUUGGCCUCUCCCCCGAAUAGGAAGACGCGUUCAACAACUUUUUCUGGGACAACUUGGACAUAUUCACGUGGGAACCAUCCGAUACGUCCGGCGUCCGACAGAAGCUGGCUGAGCAAGACAGCAACGUCAGUUAAGCAGAAACUUUGUCGUUUCACUCAACAUCGCAAGGAGGCCAUUAUGGUAGAGUUAAAUAUGCUCUUAGCUGCCAAUUUCAUCGGUGAAUGUAAGCACCCCAACUAGUUAGCAAAUCUAGUCCUUCUAAAAAUGAAAACCGGUGAAUGGAGAACAUGUAUCGACUGCACUGAUCUCAACAGGCUUUGCCCUAAGGUCCCCUUCCAUCUUCCCCGCAUCGACCAGGUCGUGCACUCCACGGUCGGCUGCACCCUACUUUGCUUCCUCGAUUGCUACUCGGGCUAUCACUAGAUCGCCCUCAAAACCCCGACCAAGAUAGGACUGCAUUCAUAACGCCCUAUGGCAUCUACUACUACAACAUCAUGACCUUUGGGUUAAAAAAUGUCAGCCUACCAGAAGAUAAUCCAGGGUUGCCUCAAAAAAUAACUUAGCAAAAACGUAGAGGCCUACAUGGAUGAUUUGGUCAUAGGGACAAAAGACGAAGAGAACUUCAUCGCCAGCCUUGCCCAAACCUUUGACAGCUUCUGGACCUAUCGAUGGAAACUCAACCCGCGUAAAUACGUAUUCGGUGUUCCGUCUGGAAAGCUCCUGGGCUUCAUGGUCAGCCAACAUGGCAUCAAAGCAAACCCCAUCAAAGUGGACGCCAUCAGGAAUAUGACGCAGCCCACCGGCAAGAAGGAUGUCAUGAAGAUCACUGGCAUGAUAGUGGCCCUUAGCCGUUUCAUCAGCAAGCUUGGCGAAAAGGGACUUCCCUUCUUCAAGAUGCUCAAGAAGGCAAACAAGUUUGAGUGGGAUGAUGAGGCCCGCAAGACCCUCGAGGAACUAAAAACAUUCCUCUCCACCCCUCCCGUAUUGAUGGCCCUAGUCGACCAAGAAACACUGCAGAUGUACACCUCUGCGACAACACACGUCGCAAGUACGUUGCUAGUUGUAGAAUGUGAAAACCCGACCACGCCAACAUGGUGCAAAGGCCAGUAUAUUAUGUCAAUAAAGUCCUAAAUGACUCUAAGGGCCGUUACGUGCAGGUGCAGAAAUUGCUCUACGCAAUUCGGAUCACCUUCCAUAAACUGUGCCACUACUUCCAACCGUACAAGAUUUGAGUGGUUUCCUCCUAACCAAUCGGCGAAAUCCUACACAACAGGGAUAUCCACGACCGAGUUGUCAAAUGGUUCAUGCAACUUGUGGAAUUUGACAUUGACUUCUACCCACAUCAUGUGAUCAAGUCCAAAAUCCUGGCCGAUUUCAUCGCUGAAUGGACUAAGAUUCAAGUGUAACCCUCCCAUGAGAGGCUGGAGCACUAGACGAUGUACUUUGACGGCGACCUCAACCUUAAAGGAGCCGGCGCUGGGGUCCUCCUCAUAUCCUCGAAAGGCGAGCAGCUCAAGUACAUCCUCCAAAUCCACAACAAGGCUACCAACAACGACGCUGAGUACGAGGCCCUCAUACAUGGGCUCCGCACCACUGCAUCUCUUGGCAUCAAGCGCAUCCCUGCAUAUGGUGACUCCAAGGUUGUCAUCGAGCAGGUCAACAAAUCCUAGGAAUGCACCAAGGACACCAUAGACGCCUACUGCACUCAGGUCCGCAAACUCGAGGCUCACUUCGACGGCCUCGAAUUCCAUCAUGUUCCCAGGGAAGACAACGUUGCCGCCGACGUCCUGUCCAAGCUCGGCUCGAAAUGCACCCAAGUUCUGGCUGGUGUGUUCGUCCAGGACCUUAGAAAACCCUCCAUCAAGAUCCUAGACCCAGACCGGGCUGACAGCAACGCCUAGGCUCAAGUCGACCCAGUGUCCAGUGACGUCCUGUUGUUGAUCGAGGUGGAGGAAGACCGGCGAGCACCCUUCAUUGCAUUUAUUACCGACAACAUGUCCCCUGAGGACAAAGCCGAGCAUGAAAAACUCACAUGACGCAACACCAACUAUGUUGUGAUUGGCAAGGAAUUGUACAGUAAGGCCGCAUCUACCGGCAUCCUGAUGAAGUGCAUCCUUUGCAAUGAAGGCCUUGAACUCCUCCAUGAAAUCCACUCAGGCUUGUGCGGGAACCACGCCACCUCGGGUAGUCUGGUCGGGGAAGCAUUCCACUUAGGCUUUUACUGGCCAAUCGCUAUCGUUGACGCAAAAGAGCUUGUCCAGAAGUGCAAAGGAUGCUAGUUCGUCUCCAAGCAGUAGCACCUCCUACCCCAAACUCUACACACCAUCUCAUCAUCCUGGCCCUUUUAUGCUAGGGGCUGGAUAUGGUUGGCCCCUUCAAGACUGCUCCGGACGGUCACACCCACAUCUUUGUGGCAGUCGGCAAAUUCACCAAGUGGAUCGAGGUCAAGGCUGUCACCAGCACAGAGUCGGUCAAAGCUGCUCAGUUUAUUGAAGAACUCACCCAUCGAUUUGGGUCCCUAAUGGGAUCAUCACCGACCUUAGCAAGCAAUUCACAAGAUCCGAGUUCUGGGAUUUUUGCCAAGACAACCUAAUCGACGUGUACUACUCCUCCAUAGCUCACCUACGCUGCAAUGGCCAAGUUGAACUUGCGAAUGGGAUGGUCCUACAAACCCUCAAGUCUCGCAUCUUUGAUGACGUAUCGAAAUACACCACCAGAUGGCUCGACGAGUUGCCCAUGUCAUUUGGGGCCUCCGAACCCAAAAGAGUAGAGCGACCGGUUAUACUCCCUUCUUCCUGGUAUAUGACUCUGAAGCCGUGUUGCCAACAGACGUGGGAUUCGGCGCUCCACGGAUCCAACACUACGAGGAGCAUGAAGCAGAAAAGAGUCGGCAGGUCGACAUCGACAGCCUGGAAGAGCACCGCGUGGCCCUCAUCCAGCUUGCGCGACACGAGCAGCAAAUCCGACGCUACCAUGAUAGGAACGUCCAGGAAUGCUCAUUCAACAUCGGCGACCUUGUGCUCCAUCGGAUCCAAUCCACCAAAGACAUGCACAAGCUAUCGGCCUCCUGAGAGGGUCCCUUCAUCGUCAAAGAGGUCAUCCAUGGAACAUCCAACACCUACGAUGCUUCUACCUUUAGGACACUAAAGCUAUGUACUCUUUAUACCUUUUACAUUGAAUAAAUAAAACAUUUAUUUGCGUACCUAAUACCUUCUUACUUUCUUACCCGAGCUCUUACUCACGCUCAGGGGCUGUCCGACCUAAUCAACACAGCACACCCUCAUCGUUACGCUUGGGGGCUUCCCCUGUUACGCGCCAACCUUCGGGUCUCACCUUUUCUCCUGCCCCUCUCACGGCAAGUACGACUAACUCGUGUGGACGGCAUCCUAGCUCGCGAAACCUCCUUUACAAGCUCGCGUUCACCCCCUCUACAAGCUCAAGAUCCGCUCUCAGCAGAGUGCUGGCCAGGCAAGGUUGGGCGCUUAGUGGCUACAGGCCUAAGCUACACAAUGUCCUGCCGUAUACACCAAAGGAGGGAUGGAGGCUUUCUAUUCACAUAAGUUAAUUGACUAGUUUACUUGUCUCAUAACACAGAUUGAUACACAUUAUAGUUUUUUACACGUCCAGCAGAUUAACUACACCCUCCGCGGCUUGCUGAUACUGCUCGUCAACUCCGGAAGGUUGUCAGGAUCGAAGUCCUUGGCAACCCCUGCUCUGACGCGCUCCAUGGCUACCUUGGGGAAAUGCGUCUUCAGAAGCACAAUGCAGUUCUUCGCCCACUCCAUGGCGGUCUCCUUCAUCAAGGCCUUCAGCUGACUGGGAGCACUCCUUAGACGGUCCAGCAACGGUGUUGGCUCAGCAGGAUUUGCCUCGGGCUGGAUCAUAUACAUCACGUAGUUCACGGUCGACCUCAGGUCUUCCUGCUUCAUCUCCAACCUUGCAAUGACCACCUGAUCACAUUGCAUAUUGUGCAUUGCCGCAAUCAACCACUGGUCCAUGUCCUUGCGCAAGCUGGCCUCAUAGGCAAGUUUUUGUGACACAGCAUACGGUGCACGACAAUGCCACGGUCUUGCUGCGGUCGGGUAUUGGCAGCUUCACACUCAUUGAGGUCUUUCUUAAGGCUCGCCUCCUUAUUCUUGGCAUCUACAAGGCACACAACAAGAAUGGAAGAAUCAACAUUACCCUCCCAAAUCAGGGUUAUCAUGAACAAGCUACCUACGUACCCUUCAGCAUGGCAUCAAGUUCGCUCUGGACCUCCUUGGUAAUCUUCUUCUGCUCCUUGAGCUCCCGAUCUUUUUGCCGGAGCUGCUCUACGGCAUCCUCCUCAGCCUUCUUGAGCUCGGCCUCCAAGCGCUCAGCCUUGAGGCGAUACUCCUCGGCACGAUGGAUGGCGUCCACCCUCUUGUGCGCACGCUCGGCUAGGUUCUGUGUAAAAAUUACCCCAACAAUUCAAAAAUAGAAGACAAGGAUGAAAGUCAACACCAAGAUAGGUCGGCCAACUUACUUAUAAAACCUCUCCGACCUUGGCCGAAGUGUCCUUCAGGACAGCAAGAUCCUUCUUGUCAUCCGCCACAUCCUGCGCCAGGGCCGUCGCGGAGAAGUCCAACGUGGUGCGAUCAUCCUCCACAUGGGCAUGAACGUCGGCGUCGUAGCCUGCCACCUUGGCGUCAACCGACGCCUCCCUGAGAGUCUCCUUCAUCUGCACCUCAGCGCUGGCAUUUCUGACCCCAAGGGUGGAGACAGCAACAUCCCCAGCAGCAUCUUGGCGUGGCGAAGACCUUUGUUCAGGCCUCUCAGGCUCCACCACCCAGUUGUUGUCGUGUUCAACCUGGGUAGAAGAAGCAGAUGCAACCCCCUAGGCUGCACCAGGAACCCGACCUUUCGCCUAGGUCCCAACGCCGGCAUCCUACAGGCUUGGCUCAUCCUUCAUCACCGCCUUCCUGCUCGGUCGGCGAGGCACAGAUAUAGAGUGAAGUAGUAUACAAACAAACUUUCAACAAUAAAUAACACCACAACCAUACUCACAAUGUGCUUUUCUUCGCUCGGAACUUUGGGCAAAAAUGCACUGGCGGCGGCAGGGUCGGCUCCUUCUGCCUCCCCCGCGGAUCUCUGCCUUGAGCCGCUGUAACGACCCAGGUUUAAAUCAGCCAAGCUAAUCUUAAGACAAGUCCCUAAUCCGGUUGACUCAGCUUUUCUUGAGCUUUAUCACCUAAAGUCUGGUUCUCAGCCCGACCCUGAAACCCCGCCAAACCUCCGGUUCUCUCUAAGUCCUGAAAGCCAGUGUUCCUCCAAACUUUGGAGCUGUGGAAGGGCUAGAGACUGGAAGAUGGACCCAAAACCAGAUCCCACGGAUCUCUCGGGUCAAACGCGUUAGAGCCAGCGUGCGCCCUGCUUGAGAGCCUCUCUGCCGCGUAGCUCAACCUUCCCGACGAGCGCCGCCUCGCCCAGUCGCCGGCCGCGACAAGAUAGAUCAGCGUGCCUCCUUCCCAAUCCCGCACGAUAGCCCCUGCAGUCCUUUCCGCCUCACCUCCCGCACCCAUCACCUCGCCCGGAUCACUGGCCGCGCGCCCCGAUGCCUUCCGGCUUUUCCGUCGCCCCCUCAGUUGCGCUGCCCACGCGCGCGCCCCGCGAUGAUACCGCCCUCGCCAACCACGGCUCCGACAGAGGCAACUCUUUUCUCCGCCUCGCUAGUAGCGUGCCCCGGCAAAGCCGCUGGUCUGCGCCUGCUAGCGUCGCCGCUCGCUCUAUCACCUCGCCUGCAGUGCCCUCGCCUGCAGUGCCCCUUUCACUCCUUCCUGCCGCACGCUAGUCGAACCGCCGCACCCAAUCCACCGCUUGACGCGACCAGACCUGCGCUCGCCCUUGCCAAUUCUUACCUCCGGCAAUAUCGCACCUGCACAAGCUCUGCCUCCAGUGCUCAAUGACCAAAGAUCUUAUCCCCAAAGCUCCGCUUCGCCGGCCAAUGGAGGCAUCGCCCAAUCGCCGCCACGGCAGAGCACUCCAUCCUUUUCGACCUGAUCUUCGCGCUCCUCGAACUAUCUUUCUCUUCCGCGCAGCUAUAAAAGGGAGUACCAGAGCCCUUACCGGAGUUUCCUUCGCCAUCGUUGCCUCGCUGCACCUUCCUCUAUUCGCACUCAAGCGCUGUCGCAUAAGCUCUCGAGGACCUUCCCCUCUCCGCUUAAACCCGCUUUUCCCAACCCACCAGCCGCCUGUUUCCUCCGCACGGUGCUAGAGCUUGCUUGUUGUCCAGUUGUCCACAAGAAGCACUGCCGCCGCCGAAGCACCGUCGAACCCCACCAUCGCCCAAGCCUUAGCGUCUCAAGUCCUUCCGCCUGAGUCUGGUCCUUUCCGACCCCAAGACUUCACCAGUAGGCCUAAAGGUAAGCUGCCGACCCCUUUCCGGUUCGCCCGACCCCUUUUUCCGUCUCGCCCAACCCUAUCUGUUUCGCCGACCCUUGUCCGCCUCGCCCGAGGGCUCGGCUGUAUCUUUUUCUCUGACCCGAGGGUAUCUGUGUAAAAUUUUGGGGACUUCUCUGUGUUAAGUCUGAGGACCCCGGUAUAGUUAUUCCUUAGGUCUGAGGGUCAGAUCAUAAGUUUCUCCCAAUCCGACCCUUUUGUCUUGUUCUCUAUCAACUGAAGUUUGGAAUUUCACCCCUUUUUCCUGUAGUUUUGCUACAAGCUUCUGAGCGAAAUGUUGCAAGUGUUGUUGAAAUAAUUGACUAAAUGUUUAACCCCUGCAUUUGCACUUCCGUGUAGAGCUAAAUCUCGCCGAUGGCACAUACAAGCUGCAUCCGGUGCCAGAAGACGGAGCAGUAGCUGAGCCGCCGACCGCAGGAACUGAAGCAGAACCCGCAGAAGACCAGUUUGCCUCCGCCUCGCUCGAAGGCAAGCCCCGGAGCAUGACCCUAACUUUCUAAACUUGCACAUACCUUCUUUCGUUUGUAUGUGCAUUUACGUUAUAGGAGUUUUUUGAAAUCAUAGAUGCAUAACUUAGUCCCUUGAUCUGAACACUAGUCUGAUAAGUCUGAGUAGUUGCAUUGCUUAAUAGGACUCGGUAAAAGUCGAGUGAUUUCCUAUCACUCGCGAGUUAUAGGAGUUGGGUGUUCUCCUUCUGGUUACAACUAUAAGGAUGGUGGACGGGGCAGGGCCUGGUGAACUCUUUGGUGGUCGGUGGAUCGCUCCGUCUGUCUACUUGAAUCUGUUUGGUCAGACAGUGGUGGUGUUCGUGAUCAAGUGUUUGAAAGUACUAAUCUCAUACCCAGUAUGGGAUGGGGAAGCCUAGUACCUGAUUGAACCUGGACGUGAGCGGUUUGAUCCACUGUCUCUAGAACAGAGUUUCCGCUACGGCCGCAUGUGGUGGCAAGUGUGGUCGCAGAACGGCAGAGGCCAGGUCUACGGAACAUUGCACCAAGGGAAGUGGGCCCGACACGGGUCAGGGG